rnacentral:misc_RNA from 1 species
UCAAACUUGGUCAUUUAGAGGAAGUAAAAGUCGUAACAAGGUAACCGUAGGUGAACCUGCGGUUGGAUCAUUAAUGAAUCUGUUGUUGAUCAUGGCGUGAUGCCUUGGAUCAAAUAACGCUCAUCCUUUGUGAAUUGUACUUGUAUUUGGCAAGUGACAGUGUGUCUUGUCACGCUAGAGUUUCGCUUUGUGCGAAAGCUUGCCAGUAAUUUUACGUUUUGAUUGUCUUUAGCCUGAAUGAAACAAUUGAUUUAAGUGAAACAACUUUUGGCAACGGAUGUCUUGGCUCUCGCAUCGAUGAAGAACGCAGC